rnacentral:rRNA from 1 species
CAGCGACGUGUCAUUCAAAUUUCUGCCCUAUCAGCUUUAGAUGGUAGGAUAUGGGCCCACCAUGGCGGUGACGGGUAACGGAGAAUUAGGGUUCGAUUCCGGAGAGGGAGCCUGAGAAACGGCUACCACUUCUAAGGAAGGCAGCAGGCGCGCAAAUUACCCAAUCCUGACUCAGGGAGGUAGUGACAAGAAAUAACAAUAAACCGGCUUAUGCCGGUUUAAUUGGAAUGAGUACAAUUUAAACAUCUUAACGAGGAACAAUUGGAGGGCAAGUCUGGUGCCAGCAGCCGCGGUAAUUCCAGCUCCAAUAGCGUAUACUAAAGUUGUUGCAGUUAAAAAGCUCGUAGUUGGAUUUCUGUGGGGACGGGGCGGCCGGCCGCAACUCGCGGUUCGAGCUAGCACUUUCCCUACAUCCUGCCGCGAACCGUGCUACCAUUAGUUUGGUGGCGCUGGGGAUCGGCUCGAUUACUUUGAGAAAAAUAGAGUGUUCAAAGCAGGCCACACGCCUUGAAUAAGUUAGCAUGGAAUAAUAACUAAGGACUUCGGUUCUAUUUUGUUGGUGUUCGGGACUGAAGUAAUGAUUGAUAGGGACAGUUGGGGCGGUCUGUAUUCCAAAGCGAGAGGUGAAAUUCUUAGACCUUCGGAAGACAAACAGCUGCGAAAGCGUUCCGCAAGGAUGUUCCCUUUGAUCAAGAACGAAAGUUGGGGGAUCGAAAACGAUCAGAUACCGUCGUAGUCUCAACUAUAAACUAUACCAGCUAGGGAUCGGCCAACGUUAUUUCAAACCGACUUGGUCGGCACCUUAUGAGAAAUCAAAGCAUCUGGGUUCCGGGGGGAGUAUGGUCGCAAGGCUGAAACUUAAAGGAAUUGACGGAAGGGCACCACCAGCCGUGAAGCCUGUGGCUUAAUUUGACUCAACACGGGAAAACUUACCAGGUCCAGACAUAGUAAGGAUUGACAGAUUGAUAGCUCUUUCUUGAUUCUGUGGGUGGUGGUGCAUGGCCGUUCUUAGUUGGUGGAGUGAUUUGUCUGGUUAAUUCCGUUAACGAACGAGACCCCAGCCUGCUAAAUAGCGCGCGUGAGCUUUGCUCGCGGCGAGCUUCUUAGAGGGACUAUGAUGCGCGGUAGCACAUGGAAGUUUGGGGCAAUAACAGGUCUGUGAUGCCCUUAGAUGUUCUGGGCCGCACACGGGCUACACUGGGCGCCUGCAUCGAGCAUAUCAGCUGGCCCGAGAAGGGUCUUGGCUAAUCUUUUGAACCGGCGCCGUGCUUGGGAUUGACCUUUGCAAUUGUUGGUCAUGCAACGAGGAAUGCCUUGUAAACGCGAGUCAUCAGCUCGCAUUGAAUACGUCCCUGCCCUUUGUACACACCGCCCGUCGCUCCUACCGAUGAAUGUUCCGAUGAAAUUUUCGGAGAGUGCCUGUGAACUUGGCUCUGCCUUGCGAACGGGAAGCUCAAAGUCACUUAAAUCUGAACAUUUCGAGGAAGGAGAAGUCGUAACAAGGUUUCCGUAGGUGAACCUGCGGAAGGAUCAAUAACAUUCACAACUCAAAAAAUAAACACCGUGUAAAGAAAGUUUCAUGCGGGUGCUCCGCACUCACAACUCUUUUUUCACCCACACCACCAAAUGGUUUUCGAAACAAACAAAGCAAAAACCAAAAUCCACCUUUUCAACGAUGGAUCUCUUGGUUCGAGCAACGAUGAAGAACGCCGCGAAACGCGAUAUGUAAUGUGAAUUGCAGGAUUAAGUGAAUCAUCAAAUCUUUGAACGCAAAUGGCUGCUCUGGCCCUCGCGGUUGGAGCAUACCUGGUCCAGACUCGUUUGCCAAACGCAAAAUGCUUUAUAGAACGAGACACUGGGCGUUGCUCUUCGUGAGCAUCGCUUCAAGAACUAAAGCGGCCUUGCGCCCCUCAGCAUCCAAGCGAUGCGCCGAGGUAGUCAAACACCAAGGUGCGUCGUGCCGAGUUGCGCAGGCUAUUUCCACCACAUGCUUUAGAGCUGGACUCAGGCAAGAGGACCCGCCGAAUUUAAACAUAUUACUAAGCGGAGGAAAAGAAACUAACAAGGAUUCCCUCAGUAACGGCGAGUGAAGCGGGGAUCAGCUCAAUGUGAAAAUCUGCGCCUCUCAGGCGCCGAAUUGUGGUCUGGGUUUAGUUUCUUAACGGGCAUCGCGUGUAAUUCGUUGUUGAGACAGCGAGCCGGAGAGGGUCAUAGCCCCGUCCCGUGCGGUCGCCCCCACCAGGAACCCUUCCCGUGAGUCGUGUUGCUUGGGACUGC